rnacentral:rRNA from 1 species
UACGUAGGGUGCAAGCGUUAAUCGGAAUUACUGGGCGUAAAGCGUGCGCAGGCGGUUGUGCAAGACAGAUGUGAAAUCCCCGGGCUUAACCUGGGAAUUGCAUUUGGGACUGUACGGCUAGAGUGUGUCAGAGGGGGGUAGAAUUCCACGUGUAGCAGUGAAAUGCGUAGAGAUGUGGAGGAAUACCGAUGGCGAAGGCAGCCCCCUGGGAUAACACUGACGCUCAUGCACGAAAGCGUGGGGAGCAAACAGG